AGUGAACGCUGGCGGUAGGCCUAACACAUGCAAGUCGAACGGCAGCACAGGAGAGCUUGCUCUCUGGGUGGCGAGUGGCGGACGGGUGGGGCAUACAUUGGAAUCUACUCUGUCGUGGGGGAUAACGUAGGGAAACUUACGCCAAUACCGCAUACGACCUACGGGUGAAAGCAGGGGACCUUCGGGCCUUGAGCGAUUGAAUGAGCCGAUGUCGGGUUAGCUAGUUGGCGGGGUAAAGGCCCACCAAGGCGACGAUCCGGUGCGGGUCUGAGAGGAUGAUCAGCCACACGGAAAGUGAGGAACGGUCCAGACUCCUACGGGAGGCAGCGGUGGGGAAUAUUGGACAAUGGGCGCAAGCCUGAUCCAGCCAUACCGCGUGGGUGAAGAAGGCCUUCGUGUUGUAAAGCCCUUUUGUUGGGAAAGAAAUCCAGCUGGCUAAUACCCGGUUGGGAUGACGGUACCCAAAGAAUAAGCACCGGCUAACUUCGUGCCAGCCGCCGCCGUAA
rnacentral:rRNA from 1 species